AAAACAAGACAUCGUUAACAUGCGAAACAAGCACUCAAACGUUUUUUUUUUUUUUUGACGGGUCCCAAAACUGCACUGCAAUGUUAGGAAUAUUGGCGGUUAUUAGAUCGCUCCAAUUGAAUUCUUAAGUGUGACUUAGAAGAUUUCCAAGGCAAAUAGCAAACUUAUUUUUAGACAAGAAUAACCACCUUCGCUUAUACUGCAACAGUCUAAAAAGAAAUCUUGAAAAUGUACCAAUAGACUCAUUCAGCUAGAAGGAACUCGGGUUUGUUGCACUUGAUUCGAAUUCUACUUCAAAUCCCUCAAGAUUAUAUCAGUCAUGGAUUUCCAUGACUAGUAGCGUUCCACUCCCGCCUGACAGAGUUUAGUGCAUGACUUUGGAGUGAUCAACCACGCCGUCUCCAUGACCUAUCGAGUUUUCCUGUUCGCCACACCGUAUCUGGUGGGUUUCUUCAUCAGGUGCCACACAAUUAAACGUGAGAUGAUUUAACGAGUACAUGUGAGAGGGAGCACCAUCUAAGCACAUUUCAAGAUUGUCAAAGCACCCAAUUGCUUUCAGUUAUUGCACAAAUGUUGGACCACACAAGUAAGAAAUCUUUCGGAGAAAGCAUAAUACCUCUUCUGGUAUAUGGUCACGAGCGCCAUGAAGCGAAACGUGGCAUUGGGGUGGAACAGCAGAGGUGUUGUAUUUCAAUUGGUCACCGUUUACCCCCAUCUUUACCUUCCUGGAGAGAAACUCAUGCAGAGUCAGAAAAAUAUUACUUUUGAUCAAUCAAGCGCGCUUCCGCUCCAAAUUCAUCAUGCAAUCAAGAACGUGAUAGAUAAAUCAAACCUGGGUAACAGUAAAAUUACUUCUUCCCAAAAUGAGUAUUAUCAUAUUUCUUAUAGUUCUUGUUCCGU
rnacentral:lncRNA from 1 species